AUUAGCGCCUGACUGUAAUAUGCCCAGGAAGUUCAGCAGGUUUGCUCACUUUCAUGAAGAGGAGCUCAUGGUUCCUGGAAAUGGCCGAUAGAAGCUGAGCACGAAUGAAAAGGCAGGAAACUCAUUCCUCAAAACUCAGGUUAUAAGAGUUAGAAAUGUUCACUGAGAGCAAAAUUAUCAUCUGGAUCGCUCUAGUUUCAUGGCCAAACCCUGCCUAUAUAUUUGCUGUGAAAAGGGCUCAGAGUGUCUACGAGGCUGAAGAGGGCAGCAACAUCACCAUCAGAGUGGACAGUCAGCUCCAAGCUGACGUGUCUCUGGCUCACUUGAUGUGUGUUUUCUACUCACAUGAUACUAAGAUAUUGUUUAAAAUGACCAGAGGAGUGGAGGACUCUGAGUCUCAGCACGAACAGUUUGCAAGACGAGUUCAGAUCAACAGAGACGCCCUGAGAGGAGGAAGAGUCAGACUUCAUGUGUCCAGAGUCACAGCUGAAGACUCUGGAAACUACCGCUGUGAUCUGGCUGCUGAUUAUAACAAGGUUCUGAGGAGAUGGGAGCUCGAGGCCUCUGAAUAUUUCAUCUUGAAUGUGACUCGCUCUCAUUCAGUAAGCAGUGACGCGUUCCACACCACACCAAAGCCAGAUGAAGGUAGGACACACCGAGCUGCUUCAGUGGUUAUUAAAGGUUUUAAAGGUAUUCACUCAUAAAUUAACAAAGUGCUUUGUGAUCAAACUUUAGUUUUCCUGACAAAAUAAAGUCCUUUUAGAACAAAUCGAACCACUGGGCAGCCAGUUUGAAAUGCUGCCAGGCAUUUAUUUGGGCACUUACUUAGAAGCAUUGACAAUAAUAACACUGCUCCUCUUUUUGCCAUGGCAUUUUUAUGAAUUUAAUGUGUAUUCAGUACCUAAAAACACUUACUGGUAGGUGCUGCAGAAAAGGGGGGCGGCUGGAGGGUUUAAAGCAGGGGUCGGCAACCCACGGCUCCGGAGCCGCAUGCGGCUCUUUUGUCCUUAUACUGCGGCUCCGGGUGGUUUGGGAAAAUAAAUUAGAAGUAUUUAGCGGAAGUGUAUUUUAUUUAUGUUAGUGCUUUUUUAACUUGUAGUUCUAAAUGGGAAGAUUAUUGUGAUUUUGUAAUAUAAAAAUACAAUUAUACUUUAUUAUUUCAUCGCUCACAAUAAGAGUCACACUCGCGGAAGCCGGUAUACCCGCUGAAACGCCGUGCAUUUAUCGAGACUUUCAACUCCAGAUAGGCCAAUGAUGAAUCUUUGAAUUCACAUUAUGUCAGCAGCUGUUCUCCACCAUGAACUAUGUUAAAAACAAACACUGCUCCCGCCUCACAGACGACAGCUUACAGUCCUGCGUAAAGAUGAAAGCCCCGAUAUGCAGACGCUGUGCGCAGAGGUUUGGGACCAGAAGUCUCAUUGUAAACAUAUCACGGCAGACCCGACGAUGUUUGCAUGAACAUGCUUUUCAGCAUCUCUUUAUUGACCACUUUUCACACACGGUUGCCGUGCGCAUAAAGCUGGCUGUAGCUUUUCAGCUCACAGCCCGACAACACAAGAGCAGAGAGAGCAGGUGCCGCUCAGGUGCGUCCGAUUCCCAUGCAGCAGCACUGCAGAUCACGCCCCGCUACACACAUUAACCAGGUAAAAUGCAUAUUUAGGCACAAUUUUGCAAAUAUCUAUUUUUUUUAGUAGUAUAGUGCUUUUGUUUAAAAUAGUUUUUAAUUGGAAAAAAAAACUGUUGUGAGGGUGGCGGCUCACAGCAGUUUUUGUUUGCUACAUGGAUCAUUUUAGUUCAGCUGGGUGUCUUUCCUUUUGUUAUAUUUCUUUAAGAGUUAAAAAUGUGUUAAUUGCAUAAAUAAAACGUAAUUUUCUCUGUAGCACUUCAUGGAUUUAAGCAACACACCUUAGUUUCUCUGUGGAUUCUUUUAAAAAGCAGUUAAAAACUUUUCUGUUCAAACAAGCCUUUUGUUGAUCUACGUAUUUUAUAUUCUUUACAUUAUUUACAUUUAGCAUAGCAUAGCAUAGCAUCUUUAUUUAUAACGCACUUUACAUCCAACAAUGUUGACCAAAGUGCUACAAAUAUAAAACAGAGAGGAAACAGUUUAAAUUACAUAUAAAAUAUCUUAAACAUUUGAUCUUUUACAUUGUGUAUAAUGUCUAUUGAUUGUAUUAUUUUAAUAUUUGUGUACAGCGCUUUGUGACUGCCUGUCUGUGAAAAGCACUUAAUAAAUAAACUUUACUUAUUUACUUUAGUUGUUCACACAAAGCAUAAAGGUAAAAAACAAUAUAUACAGUGUUAUCUUCAUUUCAGAUGUCAAAAAGUAUUUGCGGCUCCCAGUGUUUUCUUUUGCGUGGAAACCGGGUCCAAGUGGCUCUUUGGGUGUUAAAGGUUGCUGACCCCUGGUUUAAAGGAAAGUAGAAACAAAAUCUACUGUAUGAAUUUUAAAUCAUCACUAACAUCAGAGUAGUUGAGUCCAGAUGAACAGAAUCAACUUUCUGGGAUUUCCUUGCCUGCAUGAUUGAGCACACAUCAAAGUAUAACAUCAGAGCAUUUUAACUUCAUUUUUUUCUGAUAAUUUACUGGAACAAAUGUUUAAAAGUGCAUUUGGGGUACACUUUAAAUUGUAAGAAUUUGAGAUUAAACUGUUUUAAAGGAUUUCUUCAUUUUGCUGCACCACCCCUGCUCUGCAGAAGACCACAACACCACCUGGCACAAAUGUAUACAUAGGUUAUCUGACCAUAAUGUGUCAGAGAGCAGGGAGUGUAGCUAUUUCCUUUUAGGUUUUACAACAUCUGUUUUUGGAGACAAACAUGCUAUCACAGCAGAUUAUGUCCUGUUUCACCUAAGAAAUUAAAACAUAGCAGCCAUAAUGAUUUAAAUAUACUUUAUAGAAAGUGGAAAUUGCAAGAACUUCCUUUUACUACAACUUCCUUCCGAGGACUACUGGGAUUUCUUAUAUAACCAUAUAUAACCAUUACAUCCAUUAAACACGCUUCUCACUUAUGGAUCAUUAAAGAACAUGAUAAUUGGCAUUUAUAGUUAUAAAUACUAACUUGACAUGAAUAAACACUUAGAACGCACACUAUCAUUGCAUAGAUACAUGUGGAUUUAGACCCAGAACAGAUUUAAAAUGUGUUAUUUUUUGUGUAUUUUGGUUCGCUUUAAAAUGGUCAUCAGUUAUGAAAUGUUAAAUCAAACAUAAACAGUUGCUUCACCUGAAAUCAGACAUAAACUGAUGUUUUUAUUCUUGCAGGAGCAGGAGGUCGAAAGGAGAAACACAGAGCUUAUGACUGGAACAAAGUUAAAAUUGAUCUAGGAGCUCUAAAUGUUGGAUUUCUGAUGCUUGGUGGUUUAAUGUUGGUGAUAAUAUCUAUUAGCUGCAAGCUAAUAGAUAUCUGCAAGCAAUAUUGAGAAGAGUAAGUUUGUUUUUUUUCCUGUUGUUGAACUUGACCUGAACAAUUUCUAUGCUCUGAUUUAUGUAUUGAUUUCUGUUUGCACAGAUAAAGGCAAAAGCCUAUAUAUAUCUAUAUCUAUAUCAUAUCUAUAUAUAUAUGUAUAUAUAUAUAUAAAAAAAAACACCCAUCUCGCCCCUGCGGGCGGUUUAUCCUUUCAAGCUCGGGGUCCUGCGCAGUAUCUUAGCUGUUCCCAGGACUGUGCCCAGGACAUACAUACAUACAUACAUACAUACAUACAUACAUAUACAUAUAUAUAUAUAUAUAUAUAGAGAGAGAGAGAUAGAGAGAGAGAGAGAGAGAGAGAGAGAGAGGCACAUAUUUCACUAAUGUUCCACUGUGCAUGCUCUCGUGGUUUCCUAGAAUUAAUAACCAUAACUUUCAACCAUUCUCAGUAUCAGCUUCAACUGAAUCAAGCACUUGUUAAAUCCGCUGUUUGCAAUAAUUUGAAAAAACCUGGUUUCUGUUGCAAAAAAAACUAAGACUGUUUAUUUUUUGUGUUAUUUAUAAACUUGCUUUAUCUUUAUCUUUUUUAAUCUGUGAAGCACUUCCCAUUUUUAUUUGUAAAUAUAAAUGUUUUUUUCCAAUGUUAAAACAAAUGUUGGCAUUUUUACCAAGUAAAGUUUGAAUGUGACUAUAAUAGUCUGGUAGCAAUGUGUUUUGGUGACAUGUUUUAAAACUUUAUUGCAGUUUGUUAUCAAGACAAUUGUCGUUUGAUUCUCUUUGUGUUUAUAGUUUUGUUUUUUGUUUUUUAAAUAAAUGUGUUGUUUUGAAUCUUCAGCACGACUCUUUUGUUUUUAAUAAAGUAAAUGUCACUUACAUAUUGUCAGUACAUAGUCUGAUUUCUUGUCAAGUAAAUGUUAAGUGAAGCAUCAGGUACAGACAUGAGAUUCCUCGAGUUCAGGAGUGCCACACUUUGCAUCAGACUGUAGCUGUGAGGAAAGAGCUGGGAGGAGCUUUAAUAUCAUUGAUACAAGUUCAUCAUAGUGUCUGUGUUCAUUUGGCAGAAGGUUAAACUCUUUUUCUAAUAAAUCAGGUUUUCUGUGUUUUGAUGUACUUAAACAGGGUUAUUAUACAGAUAAAUGAUUAAAAAGAUAAACUCCAUAAAUAUUUUCUUAUAGCUGCUUAUAGAAAUGACUCCUCAGUACUGACAGGAAUUUAAGUAAAAACUUUCAGAG
rnacentral:lncRNA from 1 species